AUUACGUGGAAAGUUAUCAUAACCAAGUCUGUUGUUCACAGAAUGAUUUUUAAGAAAUACUCUUCAGAAAGGAAGAGCUGAGUUUUGUUAUGUUACUUCCCAUCAUAAUUAAAAAACACUUCAUUUUGUUCAAAUUAUCCUUAGAAUUUGCAUUUCUUUUUGAAUUGAAAUUCGUAAAUGGUGUUAUCUGUUGAUUUUCAAACACCUGUGUUACAAAAGACUUUUCCUCAAGCAGGGUCAUUUGUUGAGUCAGAGUAUUUCUUCUGAAAAGGCUACAUCAAAGAGCAAGUGUUUGUCAUUCAAAUUUUGCCCUUUCUCACCUUGAUCACGUAUGAGGAGUUCAGUUCCAGGCCAAAAAAAAAAAAAAGAAAAAUCUACGUGUGAUUCUUUUCCAGGCCAGACCAAUAGGCAAUUACAAAGGCUUUAUCUAGCAGGCUUUGUGAAGGAAAAUUACCCUUUGUGAUGGUUAAUUUUAUGUGUUAAUAUGACUGGACCAUGGGAUGCCCAGAUAUCAGUUUAAACAUAAUUUCUGGGUAUGUCUGCAAAGAUAUUUCUAGAAGAGAUGAGCAUUUGAAUAAUGGAGGAGUUAGUAAAGCAGAUGGCCUCCCACGUGUGGGCGGGCAACAUCCAAUCCCUUGCGGGCCUGAAUGAAACAUUGAGGUAGGGAAAGGCUGAGUUCUCUCUCUGCUUGAUUGGUUAGGUUCCGACAUCAAUCUUUACCUGCCUUGGAUGCUCCUGGUUGUCUGGACUUCAGACUUGGAUGGGGAUCUAUUCCAUGGGUUCUCCGCCUCUUAGGCCUUCAACCUCCACCGCUGGCCUGCUUGGGACUCCAGCUUGCAGAUGGCAGACCAUGGGGCUUUCCAGCCUCCAUAAUUGUAUGAGUCAACACCUUAUAAUAAAUCUCUUUAUAUAAAUUAACCCCUCCACACACACAUACUUUUUUUUUUUUGGCCAUACAUUCAUGUGUAGUGAACAUAUCCAUUCUGUUCUGUUUCUCUGGAGAACCCUAACAUAUAUCCCCCUGCACACAGACUUGGUGUACAGCCAGUGCUUUGCAGUCCCUGAAAGGAAUCCCUCAGGGCCCCCUGGCCAGCCAUGCUCUUAUGCAUUCCUGCAUUCCUAGGCCAGCACUUGCAUUUGGAGGUCUUCUAAUAUAGUUUCCCCCACUCAGAUGCAGUACCCUGUUCUUUUCAAAUUCCAGUCCUCCCCUCUCCCCUGACCUCCAGGUCCUUUAAAUUGCAGCAGCCUUUUGUUCUGGGCUCCCCAGGCUGGGAGAGAACCCUCACCCCCACAUUGGUGCUGACUCUCCUGUCUCUUCAACCAGGACACUGUUCUCUGGGGGACGGGACAGUUGGCUGCUUUCUCCAGACGAGCCUCUUGCUUUUACUAUCACAGUGAGUAAGAUUAAAGCCUUCCCCUCUUGUUUCAUUUUGGCUCAUUGUUUUUAAUUUGCUACUCAGGCAGUUCGGUUCCCUCCUACUUGGCGCCGAUGGUUUCUGGCAACCUGGUUCCCAUCAGCGAAAGCCCUUACCAUAAAAUUGGACAUAUCUCAGGUCCGGCGAUACAUCUGCCGCAGACUCGUCACCUUCACCACACAAUAAAAUGAUGCUCUCCGUCCUGGAGAAGGAGGAGAUGGGAGUCUUCGCAGAGAACCUGCCAUGUGGUCGCUGGCUCCUGGUGUGGGCUGGAGUGUUUUCAGAAAUGCAAUUCUUAUUUGAAUCAGCGCUCACCCGAAGCGAUUUGCCAUGUCCGUGGCACCCAUGUCCAGAUACGUAAUUCCAUGCAUUUCCUGCUCCAGGAUGCUGCCUUUGCUACUACGGCUAGGCCUGUUUUCUGCGGUCCUCUCAGGCGUGGAAAGGAAACCGUGAAUCCAAGUACCUCCUAACCCUGGUGGAUUGAAGAGGACCCACCGGCUGAAAUUUCGGCAGGUCUGGGAAUUCUCCAACCGGGGUGCCUGCUGGACUCCUAGUUUCCAGUUUGGCUCUUACCUGGCUUCCGUCUGCAAUACUGUAGCCCCCCUCCCUCUUUUCUUCCCUUACGCAGCCCUUGGUACCUCCAACGGACCUUCAUGUGUGAUGCCAUCCGUUAAGUGGAACAGCAGUAAUAGUCCCCCAGCUUGUAGAUGCCAGAGCCACCACUGGGAAGGAAGCUGUGACUCAUUUCUAAUAACUUAAAAGCCCACCUUGGAGGGAAGGGCGAUUACUCUGAGAUUACUGAGACCUGCUUGAGGCCUGGGCAUCCCCAGCCAGUGCUGUGCGUUGCAGCGCGCGGGGCAGUCCCACUGCUCCCCACCUGCGCCUGGCCUCCUUGCUGACCGGAGACGUCAUGCCAAGCUCCUUGCCAGGAGCUCGACUCCUGGCCCCUCUCUCAGGGCCUCAUGGACGCAUCUCCAAAAUCAGGGUCUCACUGGGUGUUAUGCUAUAUGUUGGCAAAUUGAGCUCCAAUAAAAAAUAAAAAUAAAAAAAAAAAGCAGGGUCUCUAAAACCACUCACUUUCUUGGGCUGGAUUUCAAGAGUUGAAACCAAUUCUGCUGUUUCUUUCACU